rnacentral:lncRNA from 1 species
GAUAUGCAACUUUCCCUUCUUAUAUCUAACGGAGAAGUUGUACUCUUGGAGUGUGAGGCUCCAUCGGAGCAAGCGGCCAUUUUUGUGUGACAUUUGAUUGAGCCACGUCAGAGGACAAUGGUCGGUCCUGAAAUUAGGGUAACAUAUGUAUUGCAACUUCUGUAACAUUCAAGUACACUUAAGAAAAGUAAUUAUGGAGAAAUCUUUUAUAACAUACGUGCAAUUACUGUGGGUAUCGACUGAACAAAUAACUAUGACAAUGUUUCAUGCUUUCUCUGAAACUACGCACAGUUGUAUUUUUCCCCUGCUGUUUUCGCGCAGGUUUGCGUGCAGAUUGAGCAUGGCAGCUUUAGCACUGAUGCAGCUAGACUACUGAAAGUUUUGAUUUGCCUCUUAUACGAAUAGAAAGCGUAUUAUUUAAGCAUGCACAAUAUAAGGAUCAGUGUGUGAACUACUAAAUGUCUUGCAACGUGUUAUUUUUCCUAUGCACUAGUAGCAUAUAGCCCCGUCGGACAUGCGUAGCUCAUAAUGAAGUUAUUUCCUCUCGAUAUAUUCCAGAAUCUAAGGAAGACUUUGAAAUUGACAGCGAGAACCGACCGAGGCUUCGCUUUGAGCGAAUGGCAUAUUCGCCAAACGACGAGUCGGAAGAUGAUGAUGUUCCGCCAGAGCGCCCUGCAAGAAAGCAACAUCGGGGACCGAAGCAUGAAGUACUUCAAAUACUGAAAAAGAAAACAAGUGACCUGAGGCAACGAGAGGUGGAGGCCUCUUCGCAAAAACUAAAAAGGAAGAAAGUAGACGAUUUUGGUGACCCCGUGUUUUUAAUCUCCGUGAGAAGGUGAAGCGGCUAGAAGACGUAAUAGAAAAAAAAAAGAGAGAAAGAUAGAAGAAGUUCUGGCUAAGAACAGAACCCUCGAGCAGGAGGCAAAGGACCUUAGGCAGCUAAAUAUGAGGCUGCAAGCGAAAAUGUUGAUGAUGCUCGACAACAACGGCUACUGUGGAGCUCCACGCCAUAAGAAGUCAUUUGAUGAUUCUGUCAUUGGGGAAACGCAAGCUAAUGAAAGCUUUGACAGAACGGAACAGUCGACGCCUCCACUACCACCACCAGCCAGUUGUGCCAGAAAGGAUAACAACACGGUGGACAUUGGCCGUGGUUCGGCGAUUAAUGCACAAGCGUGGAGCCACAUCUAAGGCCACCAGAAGGAUUCGCUCUUUGUGAAAGAUCUCCUGCUGGGCAUUUGGCCAAAGGACCAGUUAAAAAACCGCUCUUUACAAGGUAAGCGGUGUCCUCGAUACCCAGAUCGGCCUGCAAAAGCGCCGCUGACACCUUCGAAGGUGGAAGUGAUGCGCGACUGUUACAGACAAAGACUACUGCGCCAGGGUGUCCCUGAACACCUAUUGCCUGUUGCACUCAAGCAGCUGAACCAUCUUGUGGUUGAGAAGCUGGCAGACCUUGAGAGGCUGGCAAAAUGGUAAAGCGCUGUUGUGCAUGUUUGGCGACUAAUUUCGGAAAGCUUCUAAAUUUUUCUAGUUUGGGAACAACAUGCAGCCCUAACCUUCAGAUAGAUCCCUCUUUUAAGUGAAUAUAGUUUAGCUGCACGCAAUUGCUAAAAAUGAUGCGCAGCAUCAGCUCCCUUACUUUCAUUUCUUUAUAAUUAGUUAUCAUUAAUGGAAGUGCUGCAGCAAGAAAGAAAGACAAAUACAUAAAAUGUGAAAUGACUGCUUAUCGCACCACAUCUCCACCUAGGCUCAUAAGAUUUCUGUAACCUCCAUGUCGACUGUAGACUGAAUUAACGGUAAUGGUUCCAAACACUGUGUACGUCACCCAAGUGAGCAAGCCAAGCUAAUUUUCUGUCUAAACCAUUAAUAGCAGCGCAUGAAUGUGAGUGUGCAGUGGUGUGGUUGCUCGUUCCGUCUUUUCUUAUUCCAAAAGCUGUUCCAAAACACCAAAAGUCACUUCCAGCACUGCAUUACAGCAACAGGAAACUUCGAGUACUUUUUGUGGCGCAGUUAUGAGAAUAGUGUGCAUAGUUUGUGUGAAAGUCUAUGAGAAUAGCAUUUUUGCAACAAGCGUGCAGCCCUCUUGCUAUAAUUGGAAUGUACUUCUUGGCAGAGCUAGACGAGUGAGCAUCACGCAUCCCACACAACAACUGAACUUUUAUUAACUGCAAUCCUCUCGGAAGAUAACCCACAUUGUUCUGCACGCAUGUACUAUUGGCACUACCCCAAAAGCGC